rnacentral:lncRNA from 1 species
CUUCUCUCUUUUCCUGCCCCUCUCAUGUUUUUGUUUCUUAUCCUUUUUCUGCAUGUGUAUGGGUAAACCAAUAUAAUGCAAUUAAGGUAUUGCUUGUUAGGAUGUAUAUCUGCUUAUGCCCCCAUGCCCUAUUCAUAUUCAACAAAUUUAGUAAGUAAUUAGUGUAUUCGUGAUUAGACCAAAGAUAAAGUUUAUAGGAAAAUAGGCGCGAUUGCAUCCUAUAUAUGAACUAAAACGAUGUGUGGAUGUUGUCACUAUUGGCUAGUAUGAUAGAAUAAGCUUAAAAUAUGAAAUAACACAAAGUGUCGACAUUUGGUAUUAUCCAGCUAUUUCCAUCAAAUGUUGAUGCAUGUUUCCAAUACUUCUAGGAGUAGUAGAUCAUAUCCAUUCUGCCAUAUAAUGCUAGCAUAGAAAAGUCAGUUUUUAUUUUGAAGACAGUUUUGUAGUGUACUAUUUUCCCAUCUACUUAUGUUUAUCUAAAAGGCUAGUAGCAUUUGGAAGUUUGUUUUUGUUCCUAUCUUUAGAUUAUUUCUGUGUAGAGUAUGUUCUUGACCACAUCAUCCUUGUUGUUAGUUCAUUUGCUAUAGAAAAUAAUAUAAUAGGUAUGAUCAAGUUAGUAGGCUAUUACUGGCAAGUGUUUUCCCAAAGUAUCUCCUUUUUCUUAUGUCCCUCAUGAACUCAUUGAGCUUUAUGUGGAACAUUCGAUCAACAAUAUCAGGUUUCUGUGAUCUUAUUUGGCCUACUUCCAUAAGCAUAAAUUGAAUAUCCAGCCAAGCUGUGUUGCAUGUGAAUGCCACAAAUAGAUCUGUGUAUCAAGCCCAUUGACAUCUUGUUAUAGCAUCUUGGUAGUUUUGUGCUUGUAUCUGAGGUUAUUUGUGAAGCUGGAUGGCAGUAGUAUUCUCCUUCCUACCUCGUCGGCCCUUGUGUCUCCUAUUUAUGUUGCGUCCUGCAAGUCAACAUAUAUUUCUGCUCUUAUGUUUCCUUGAUGUUUUUUGAUCCAGUCUAGUCUGUACUACAAAAUGCAUGCAAGGGCAUCCACGUUGAACUUCCAAAGUUGCUCUUUCUUUGAGGUUCUUCUCGCCUUGAAUGCAUGUCACAAGGCCCUUCUCAAGUUGCUCUUUCUUCAUACCAAAAAAUUGCACCACACCAUUCACACUUGUAUCUUGGACUUCGGAAGUUCCAUAUUUCCAUAUCCGUCCUUGUCGAUGUCCUGUUUAAGUUUCUGAAUUUAGCAUCAAUCUGAAUAUUAGUAUGUUCUUUUUUUCUUACUAAUACAACAAACUUAAUAGAACUGACAUAUCUAGUUUUUCCGCCCUUGAUUUUUCUGUUGUACACUUUGUGUUACUUUUAGUCAUGUACACACACUUAAUAGAAUUACCAGGUUCAUGAAUGUCCAAAUUGUAGAUCUUGGUUGAAUUUUCUUGCUACUUACCUCGUAGUUUUACGAGCCAAUGCUUUCCCGUGGCAAUUGGACAAUGCUGAUUUUGCCUCAGUCAAUGCACAUGAUUAACAUCUGUACAUGAUAUGGUUCCCUGUGGUAAUUCUACAAUGCUGAUUUUGCCUCCGUCUUGAUUUAGCCAUGUUGCAUGGAAAUGUGUUUUCAUGUUUUUUUAAAAGCUGAUAGGUACAAUCAGGAACAAAUGCAACAUGUUUUUGUGAUUUAAUAUAGCACUUGGAAGGAAUGGAACACAUAGAUAUCACAAUUGAUGUGCAAAGAAGAAGCAAGCUAUAAUGUUACCUCCAGUAUACUGUACUACAGUCAUGCAACAUGUAAGGGAAUUUUAGCAAUUAAAUUAAGAACAGUAAGUUAAGAUAGUGGAUGAUAAUACGCAUAAGAAUACCUUUGUGAUGAUUUUCUUAUCGCACGUGGUUCGCAUAUUUGUGCAGUCUGGCACAUCUCCAUGUAUGACCGAACGCUGUCUCCUUUCGUUGUCUUGAAGUUUCAUUCUCCUUUCCUAAUCCUAUCUUGUUAUUAUUGAUUGUCUAGAUUCACAUCAUUAUUAUAAUAUAUAUUUUUCUGUCCAAGCUUAAAUUAAUUAUAAACCCAAAUGAGCCUAACUGGAAUUAUUGCAUUAUAUAAUUUAGGUGUAACAUUUUUUGUGAUAACACUUACUAAAAGUGCAUGAUUAGCAAUGGAUCACCUUGUUGGAUUGUAUAUUUGAUUGCUUUUAACUACCUUGGCAGGUUUCUCACAUUAUUGCAGUGUGGUCCACCUUUCAUUUUCAUCGUUUCUUCCUGCACAAUAUAGAAAACAUGUAUUAGAGAAGAUGAUAUUGUAAAAUUGGUUCGGAGUACUGCUGAAGGUUAUGGAGAUUUAUGAUUUGAUUAAUUAUUUGAUCAGUGAUUGUGGUGAAAGCUUUAAUGUUAAAAUGGAUGUUAUGUUUCAAUCAUCAUGUGAAGACAGUGAGGGUCUUUUACCCUUCUAUUGUAGUUAGAUGAUAGUCUAUACAGAACCAUAUAUGUGUGAAGAAUUAGAUUGUGAUUGAGGAUGGCAAGUUCAUGUACAAUUAAGAUUGAAUAAUCGCAAAGGAACUUGCCUGAUCUAAAUUUCAAAGCUAUUUGAUUAUUUACCUUGAGUUGAAACGUGGUGUGUACCUUUGAUCAUGUUCCUCUGUGAUUUCCAUGGUUAUUGGGAAUAGACAAGAUGGGGAGGACUUGGAAUGAGAGGAGCCAUGGCAAGCUAGCAUUGAAGGAGGAAGGGACUGACGCAGGUGAUCUUCCAACAUAGAUGUGUUUGUAGAUGUGUUUUUUGUUGGAUUGAAAGGAGGGAGGUGAUCCUCGUGUAGAUAAAAGAGCUAUGCUAUGUAUUCUAUUUUUUCUUUUCUUUUGAUACGUACUUCCGUUUUAUCUAUGGUAGCCCAGAGGUGGAAACGUGGGAUCACGUUAUGAAAAUCGGUUGGUCCUAACAAAUUGAUCGUUGGAAAAUAAACUAAUUGAUCG